rnacentral:lncRNA from 13 species
AUAUGCAUUAUUAUUUUGCAUGUUCUUUAAAAUUUGUAUGUAUACAUAUAGUAUGUUAUACAUAUAAAUUGGCUUUUAAAAAAUAACCUUGCUUUUGAGAUUUAUCCAUGUUGAUACAGGUAGUUUAAUUUAUUUUAAUUAUUUUAAUUGCUAUAGGAUAUUAUAUUGUAUUAAUUAUAAUUUCAUUUUUCUUUGACAGGUCUUUAAGUAUUUAAAAAAAUUUUUUUGAUUAUUACAAAAGUCGCAACAGUGACUACUUAUAAACUCCAUUCUUCUGCACAUCUGCACAUCUGUGCACACCUGUAAUACACCUGGAAGCAGAUUGCUGAAAUGCUGAGUUCUAACAUCUUUCACUUUAGCCUUUCUGUCGGUAUUCCCUACCACCAGUUCCUUCUGCUCAUCCAGCGUGCCAGCACUUGGCAUUGUAAAUGUUAAGCGUUGCUGAUCUGAUGGAUGUGAAAUGGUAUCUCAUUUCUUGGGAUGAAUUUUCAUUUCCCUGAUCUCCAAUGCAAACUUACAGAAUUAAUAGGAGAGCCUGUAGAAUUGAAAACUGUGCAGCUGAGAGUGUUCCAAAUCCCACUGCAAGAUGAGUGUACAAAGAAACCAACAACCUCCCCAACUGGUA